GGAAUUCGGUAUUGAUAAGGUUAAGACUGUUAUUCAUAGUGCUACUUCUGAGAAGAUUGAAUUUUUGGGGAUGGAGCUUCAGGCGGUUAAGCCGUCUGUCUUGCACCCACCAAUGUCACAAAAGGCGAUCAGGGCGAGGAAGAAGUACCUCCGGCAGAAAGAAGUUAGAGCUUUGGAGUUAAGAAAUGCUAAAGAGAGUAACAGAAAGAAAUUGGGAAUGAAGAUAUUCAGUCAUGUA
rnacentral:misc_RNA from 1 species